CCUACGGGAGGCAGCAGUGAGGAAUAUUGGACAAUGGGGGCAACCCUGAUCCAGCCAUGCCGCGUGUGUGAAGAAGGCUUUCGGGUUGUAAAGCACUUUCAGUGAGGAGGAAGGCCUUAAGGUUAAUACCCUUGAGGAUUGACGUUACUCACAGAAGAAGCACCGGCUAACUCCGUGCCAGCAGCCGCGGUAAU
rnacentral:rRNA from 1 species